rnacentral:tRNA from 1 species
GGAGAGGUGGCCGAGAGGUCGAAGGCAGGCGCUUGCUAAGCGUCCGUACGUUAACAGCGUACCGCGGGUUCGAAUCCCGCCCUCUCCG